AUACAUUAGGGGGAAAAUUAAAAAUUAGGCAAAAGUUAAUACCUAUUGGAGAAAGGGAAAAUAGGUGUAUAUUUUGUGGAGUACUAAAAAUAUCCUUUCAUACACUUCCCCUCCCUCCCAGCAAAUCACAUUUCCUUCUCUUUCUCUCUUCACUAUCUUCGCUCUUACCUCAUCUUCUUUCAUUCUCCUUAACUAUUACACAUUAAAAUUUAAAAUUUAGUAUACAUUUCACCUCUCCAAACUACUACAAGUAACCUUUCAAAAACAAAAAAAACUACUACAAGUAAGAAAAAUUAGCGUGAGAAGCUUUUCUUAGGGCACUUAACCAAUUUCGGGAACAAUCAAUGGGGGUUCGAUGCUAGUCCGAUGGCAAACUCAGAUCUAAGGUCAGGGAUGAUUUCCUGAUGGGUCUAAUAGUUGGCUCGAUGUGUGUCUGAUAUGGUGUAGGACCUGUUGGGUCUAUAGGGUGUCUAAUGUUGGUCGAUUGUUGUCCGACAUGGCCUAGGACUUGUUUGGGUCCAAUAGGGUGUUCGAUGUGGGCCAAUUGGUGUCCGAUUGUGUGUGAGUUUUGACGCUAGUGUGGAGGAUCCGAUUGGGUCUGAUGGGGGUCUGAUUAUGUGUCUGAUGGGUAUUCAGUUUUGAAUUCUGUUUGAAGGACUGAUUGAGGUCGAUAUAGGUUCAAUAUUGGUCUGAUGUAUGGGCAAUAUUACUCAUUUCAUGAAUUAUAUUUAUCCUAUAUGAUUAUUUUUUUUUCUUAA